rnacentral:lncRNA from 1 species
GACAAAAAAAUUUAGUGUCUAGUGAAAGUAAAAAGAAGAAAAACAGAGCUAAGCCAAGGAAAUGAUUUCUUUCCCACCUACAAUGCAUGAAAAGAAAUUAACAUGAAAAGGGUCUGAGGAAGACAUUAAUAUUUUGAUAGUGGCAGAAGAAUGUUAUUUACAAAAAUAAUGACAAAUGUUGAAGAGAAAAUACAGGCUUCCUAGCAACUAGACCAAAGAUAAGGAACUUGGGUCCUAUGGAAUGGCAGUAAGUACUCCCAACCACUGAGUCAUCUCUCCAGCUCCCCUUCUCUUAUCCGUAACCUUUACUUUUCUACCUUGCUAUGUACGUAGUUUGAAUUUUACGUCUGUGUGGAUUUUAUGUCAGCCAGCUCAAGUCUCUAAUGGAAAGUUACAAAGCAUGUUCACGCCAAGUCUACAAACGUUUUGUUUUACUGGGGUCAGACGUGUUAGAAAAUUUCUCUAUUUCCUUUUAUCAGAUGCUGUUGAAUUCAAGAUAGACAUUUGGAAUAUACAGUUAGCUGUCAUUUGAACACAGGCCCAUGGCACAAGUUCAGAAACGUAAAGUUACAGAGAAAAUAAAGACCCCCAGAGCAAAAUCACCACAGUCUCCAUGGAAAUCAAUUGGUUCAUUCUUCGUCUUAAGAGUCCAGCAUUCACUCAACAAACAUCUUAUGCUGCCAGGUUUCUCUAAUGCAGCAGACC